GUUUGAUCCUGGCUCAGAUUGAACGCUGGCGGAGCUACAGCACGCAGUCGAACGGCAGCACGGACUUCGGUCUGGUGGCGAGUGGCGAACGCGAGUAAUGUAUCGGAACGCCUAGUAGCGGAUAACUACGCGAAAGUGUAGCCACCGCAUACGCCCUUCGGGGGAAAGCGGGGACCUUCGGGCCUCGCACUGAUAGCUGCCGAUAUCGAUUAGUUAGUUGGUGGGGUAACGGCUCACCAAGGCGACGAGAUCCGUAGCUGGUUUGAGAGGACGACCAGCCACACUUGGGACUGAGACACGGCCCAGACUCCUACGGAGGCAGUGGGGAAUUUUGGACAAUGGGGAAACCCCGAUCCAGCCAUCCCGCGUGUGCGAUGAAGGCCUUCGGGUUGUAAAGCACUUUGGCAGGAAAAGAAACGGCACGGGAUAAUACCCCGUGCAACUGACGGCCUGCAGAAUAAGCACUCGCUAACUACGGUGCCAGCAGCCGCGGUAAUACGUAGGGUGCAAGCGUUAACUGGAAUUACUGGGCGUAAAGCGUGCAGGCGGUUCGGAAAGAAAGAUGUGAAAUCCCAGAGCUUUCAUCUUGAACUGCAUUUUUAACUACCGAGCUAGAGUGUGUCAGAGGGAGGUGGAAUUCCGCGUGUAGCAGUGAAAUGUAGAUAUGCGGAGGAACACCGAUGGCGAAGGUGAGCCUCCCUGGGAUAACACUGACGCUCAUGCACGAAAGCGGGAGCAACAGGAUUAGAUAAUUUGGUAGUCCACGCCCUAAACGAUGUCAAUUAGCUGUUGGGGCCUUCGGGCCUGGUAGCGCAGCUAACGCGUGAAGUUGGACCGCCUGGGGAGUACGGUCGCAAGAUUAAAACUCAAAGGAAUUGAUUGGGACCCGCACAAGCGGUGGAUGAUGGAUUAAUCUACGCACGCGAAAAACCUUACCUACUCUUGACAUGUCUGGAAUCCUGAAGAGAUUUGGGAGUCUUCCGCAAGAGAACCGGAACACAGGGUGUUGCAUAGCUGUCGUCAGCUCGUGUCGUAGAUGUUGCCAAGUCCCGGCAACGAGCGCAACCCUUGUCAUUAGUUGCUACGAAAGGGCACCUUGAGAGACUGCCGGUGACAAACCGGAGGAAGGGGGAUGACGUCAAGUCCUCAUGGCCCUUAUGGGUAGGGCUUCACACGUCAUACAAGGUCGGAGAGGGUCGCCAACCCGCGAGGGGAGCCAAUCCCAGAAACCCGAUCGUGUCCGAUCGCAGUCUGCAACUCGACUGCGUGAAGUCGGAAUCGCUAGUAAUCGCGGAUCAGCAUGUCGCGGGAAUACGUUCCCGGGUCUUGUACACACCGCCUGUCACACCAUGGGAGGGCUUCACCAGAAGUAGUUAGCCUAACCGUAAGGAGGGCGAUUACCACGGCAGGAUUCAUGACUGGGGUGAAGUUCUUCGCAAUACAGCUUCCC
rnacentral:rRNA from 1 species